rnacentral:rRNA from 1 species
GCAUGCAGUUCGUACGAGUGAGACAGCACUUCUACGGUGGCUGACGAGUGGCGAACGGGUGAGUAAUACAUCGGAACGUGCCCGAGAGUGGGGGUAUAACGCAGCGAAAGCUGUGCUAAUACCGCAUACGAUCUACGGAUGAAAGCAGGGGAUUCGCAAGGACCUUGCGCUCAUGGAGCGGCCGAUGGCAGAUUAGGUAGUUGGUGGGAUAAAAGCUUACCAAGCCGACGAUCUGUAGCUGGUCUGAGAGGACGACCAGCCACACUGGGACUGAGACACGGCCCAGACUCCUACGGGAGGCAGCAGUGGGGAAUUUUGGACAAUGGGCGAAAGCCUGAUCCAGCCAUGCCGCGUGCAGGAUGAAGGCCUUCGGGUUGUAAACUGCUUUUGUACGGAACGAAAAGAUCUCUUCUAAUAAAGGGGGUCCAUGACGGUACCGUAAGAAUAAGCACCGGCUAACUACGUGCCAGCAGCCGCGGUAAUACGUAGGGUGCAAGCGUUAAUCGGAAUUACUGGGCGUAAAGCGUGCGCAGGCGGUUAUAUAAGACAGAUGUGAAAUCCCCGGGCUCAACCUGGGAACUGCAUUAGUGACUGUAUAGCUAGAGUGCGGCAAAGGGGGGAUGGAAUUCCGCGUGUAGCAGUGAAAUGCGUAGAUAUGCGGAGGAACACCGAAUGGCGAAGGCAAUCCCCUGGGCCUGCACUGACGCUCAUGCACGAAAGCGUGGGGAGCAAACAGGAUUAGAUACCCUGGUAGUCCACGCCCUAAACGAUGUCAACUGGUUGUUGGGGAAUUUACUUUCUCAGUAACGAAGCUAACGCGUGAAGUUGACCGCCUGGGGGAGUACGGCCGCAAGGUUAAAACUCAAAGGAAUUGACGGGGGACCCGCACAAGCGGUGGAAUGAAUGUGGUUUUAAUUCGAUGCAACGCGAAAAAACCUUACCCACCUUUGACAUGGUAUGGAAAGAUCGCAGAGACGCGAUUGUGCUCGAAAAGAGAGCCAUAACACAGGUGCUUGCAUGGGCUGUCGUUCAGCCUCGUGGUCCGUGAGAAUGUUUGGGGUUUAAAGUCCCGGCAACC